GGGGACAGGUUAGGAGGGGAAGGGUCAGUAAAUACAGUGUUCAGGAGACCAAGAGGGGACAGGUUAGGAGGGGAAGGGUCAGCAUAUACAGUGUUCAGGAGACCAAGAGGGGAAGGGUCAGCAUAUACAGUGUUCAGGAGACCAAGAGGGGAAGGGUCAGCAUAUACAGUGUUCAGGAGACCAAGAGGGGAAGGGUCAGCAUAUACAGUGUUCAGGAGACCAAGAGGGGACAAGUUAGGAGGGGAAGGGUCAACAUAUACAGUGUUCAGGAGACCAAGAGGGGAAGGGUUAGGAGGGGAAGGGUCAGUAUAUACAGUGUUCAGGAGACCAAGAGGGGACAGGUUAGGAGGGGAAGGGUCAGCAUAUACAGUGUUCAGGAGACCAAGAGGGGAAGGGUCAGCAUAUACAGUGUUCAGGAGACCAAGAGGGGAAGGGUCAGCAUAUACAGUGUUCAGGAGACCAAGAGGGGAAGGGUCAGUAUAUACAGUGUUCAGGAGACCAAGAGGGGACAAGUUAGGAGGGGAAGGGUCAACAUAUACAGUGUUCAGGAGACCAAGAGGGGAAGGGUCAGCAUAUACAGUGUUCAGGAGACCAAGAGGGGAAGGGUCAGCAUAUACAGUGUUCAGGAGACCAAGAGGGGAAGGGUCAGCAUAUACAGUGUUCAGGAGACCAAGAGGGGACAGGUUAGGAGGGGAAGGGUCAGCAUAUACAGUGUUCAGGAGACCAAGAGGGGACAGGUUAGGAGGGGAAGGGUCAGUAUAUACAGUGUUCAGGAGACCAAGAGGGGAAGGGUCAGCAUAUACAGUGUUCAGG
ensembl:lncRNA